rnacentral:rRNA from 1 species
ACCGUAGUGAUUCUAGGGCUAAUACAUGCGUUACGAGGGACUUUUUGGAACCUCAGUAUUUAUUAGAUUUCAAACCAAUAUUCCGCAAGGUCUACUGAGAUGAUUCAUGAUAACUGAUCGAAUUGCCGGUCUACCGGCAAUAAGUCAUUCAUGUUUCUGCUUCCCAUCAGCUUGAUGGUAGUGUAUUGGACAACCAUGGCAUUCACGGGCUAUCGGGGGAUUAGGGUUCGAUUCCGGAGAGGGAGCCUGAGAAACGGCUACCACUUCUACGGAAGGCAGCAGGCGCGAAAAUUAUCCAAUCCUGAUUCAGGGAGGUAGUGAAAGAGAUAAUGAACUAGGAUUUAUCCUGGGGUCACAAUGGGCUUGAUUUGCAAACUUUAUUUAGCGAGGAACAAUUGGAGGGCAAGUCUGGUGCCAGCAGCCGCGGUAAUUCCAGCUCCAAUAGUGUAUAUUAAUGUUCCUGCAGUUAUUCGAUGCUCGUAGUUGGAUUUCUGGGGGCUGAGAUUGGAAGGUGGCCAAGGUCACCGCCGAACUCUUCCUUCAUCCACCUGUUAACGUUGUCCGGGAUUUGUUUCUCGGCUUCAGGCUCAGGUAUUUUACCCUUUCUAUAUAUUCGUUUAUUUAUCUUCUUUUUGAGUAAAUUAUAGUGUUUCAGGCAGGCGUGCGCCGGAAUACUUUAGCAUGGAAUAAUCGAAUUGGACCGUGUAUUCUUAUAGAAUUCUUCCUUAUUCGUUGGUUUCAAGGACACGGAAAUGGUUAAUAGGGAUAGUGUUUUCAGGGGAGGCAUUAGUAUUUAAUUUCCAGAGGUGAAAUUCUUUGAAAUAUUAAAGACUAACUUAUGCGAAAGCAUUUAUUUUGCCAAUAAUGUUUUCAUUAAUCAUUGAACGAAAGUUAGGGGAUCAAAGACGAUCAGAUACCGUCCUAGUCUUGACCAUAAACGUUGCCGACUAGGGAUCGGAGGGCGUGCACAUUCCGCCUUCGGCACCUUACGAGAAAUCAAAGUCUUUUGGGUUCUGGGGGUAGUAUGGUCGCAAGGCUGAAACUUAAAGGAACUGACGGAAGGGCACCACCAGGAGUGGAGCUUGCGGCUCAAUUUGACUCAACACGGGAAAUCUUACCAGGUCCAGACAUAGCGAGGAUUGACAGAUUGAUAGCUCUUUCUUGAUUCUAUGGGCAUUUAUUUUAAUUUUGGUGGUGCAUGGCCGUUCUUAGUUGGUGGAGUGAUUUGUCUGGUUAAUUCCGUUAAACGAACGAGACCUCAGCCUGCUAAAUAGUUACCUGUCUUUCUG